rnacentral:rRNA from 1 species
UACGAAGGGGGCUAGCGUUGUUCGGAAUUACUGGGCGUAAAGCGCACGUAGGCGGAUCGAUCAGUCAGGGGUGAAAUCCCAGGGCUCAACCCUGGAACUGCCUUUGAUACUGUCGAUCUGGAGUAUGGAAGAGGUGAGUGGAAUUCCGAGUGUAGAGGUGAAAUUCGUAGAUAUUCGGAGGAACACCAGUGGCGAAGGCGGCUCACUGGUCCAUUACUGACGCUGAGGUGCGAAAGCGUGGGGAGCAAACCGG